rnacentral:rRNA from 1 species
AGGAGCGGCCGAUGUCUGAUUAGCUAGUUGGUGGGGUAAAGGCCCACCAAGGCGACGAUCAGUAGCUGGUCUGAGAGGAUCAGCCACACUGGGACUGAGACACGGCCCAGACUCCCGGGAGGCAGCAGUGGGGAAUUUUGGACAAUGGGGGCAACCCUGAUCCAGCAAUGCCGCGUGUGUGAAGAAGGCCUUCGGGUUGUAAAGCACUUUUGUCCGGAAAGAAAUCGCACUGGUUAAUACCUGGUGUGGAUGACGGUACCGGAAGAAUAAGGACCGGCUAACUACGUGCCAGCAGCCGCGGUAAUACGUAGGGUCCAAGCGUUAAUCGGAAUUACUGGGCGUAAAGCGUGCAGGCGGUUGUGCAAGACCGAUGUGAAAUCCCCGGGCUUAACCUGGGAAUAUUGGUGACUGCACGGCUAGAGUGUGUCAGAGGGAGGUAGAAUUCCACGUGUAGCAGUGAAAUGCGUAGAGAUGUGGAGGAAUACCGAUGGCGAAGGCAGCCUCCUGGGAUAACACUGACGCUCAUACGAAAGCGUGGGGAGCAAACAGGAUUAGAUACCCUGGUAGUCCACGCCCUAAACGAUGUCAACUAGUUGUUGGGGAUUCAUUUCCUUAGUAACGUAGCUAACGCGUGAAGUUGACCGCCUGGGGAGUACGGUCGCAAGAUUAAAACUCAAAGGAAUUGACGGGGACCCGCACAAGCGGUGGAUGAUGUGGAUAUUCGAUGCAACGCAAAACCUUACCUACCCUUGACAUGCCACUAACGAAGCAGAGAUGCAUUAGGUGCUCGAAAGAGAAAGUGGACACA